UUGGAGGGCAAGUCUGGUGCCAGCAGCCGCGGUAAUUCCAGCUCCAAUAGCGUAUAUUAAAGUUGUUGCAGUUAAAAAGCUCGUAGUUGAACCUCGGGGUCUACCCAUUGGUCAGGCUUAAUUGUCUGCACUGGUGGGAUGGAUCUCUACCUUCUGAGGAACUUUCAUGCCAUUCAUUUGGUGUGAUGGGAAAUCAGGACUGUUACUUUGAAAAAAUUAGAGUGUUUAAAGCAGACUAUCGUCUGAAUACAUUAGCAUGGAAUAAUGAAAUAGGACGGACUGAUUCUAUUUCGUUGGUUUCUAGGAUCACCGUAAUGAUUAAUAGGGAUAGUUGGGGGCAUUAGUAUUCAAUUGUCAGAGGUGAAAUUCUUGGAUUUAUUGAAGACUAACUACUGCGAAAGCAUUUGCCAAGGAUGUUUUCAUUAAUCAAGAACGAAAGUUAGGGGAUCGAAGACGAUCAGAUACCGUCGUAGUCUUAACCAUAAACUAUGCCGACUAGGGAUCGGACGAAGUUAAUUUUAUAAUGACGCGUUCGGCGCCUUACGGGAAAC
rnacentral:rRNA from 1 species